rnacentral:rRNA from 1 species
UACGUAGGCAGCAAGCGUUGUUCGGAAUUACUGGGCGUAAAGAGUGUGUAGGCGGUGCUCUAAGUUCGGUGGGAAAUCUCCCGGCUCAACUGGGAGGGUGCGCCGGAAACUGGGGUGCUGGAGCGCGGGAGAGGAAAGCGGAAUUCCUGGUGUAGCGGUGAAAUGCGUAGAUAUCAGGAGGAACACCGGCGGUGUAGACGGCUUUCUGGACCGUAGCUGACGCUGAGACACGAAAGCGUGGGUAGCAAACAGG